rnacentral:rRNA from 1 species
GACGAACCAUGCAAACGUUAUUCGGAAUUACUGGGCUUAAAGCGUGCGUAGGCGGCUCAGCAAGUUGGGUGUGAAAUACCUCGGCUUAACCGAGGAAUUGCGCCCAAAACUACUGGGCUUGAGGGAGUUAGAGGUGAGCGGAACUCACGGUGGAGCGGUGAAAUGCGUUGAUAUCGUGAGGAACACCGGAGGCGAAAGCGGCUCACUGGGGCUUCACUGACGCUGAGGCACGAAAGCUAGGGGAGCAAACGGG